AAAACGUAUUUCAAGUACUAGAGACUUGUGCUUUGGAAUGUACACACAUUUUGACCAUAUGAUUACGCCCUGAAAAUUUCAUUGAAGAUUGUACGUCUGUA